CCGGUAAUCUAAUCACUGAACAACACACACAUAACAAUGCUCAAAAAACAAAGAAGAAGAAACAUAUUAACAAUUGGAAAACACAACACAUAGCAUAGAAGAGGACAUACAGGACGUGGGAAUGAUGGUGGUCUUGGGAAUACUGUUAACAAAAAAAGCCAGAACU